AGUCGACGGAACUGUUUUGAAGAUUUCUUCGGAAUGAAUUUGAUUUAGUUUAGUGGCGGACGGGUGAGUAACGCGUGAGUAACCUGCCUUCAAGAGGGGGAUAACAUUCUGAAAAGAAUGCUAAUACCGCAUGAUAUAUCGGAACCACAUGGUUCUGAUAUCAAAGAUUUUAUCGCUUGAAGAUGGACUCGCGUCCGAUUAGUUAGUUGGUGAGGUAACGGCUCACCAAGACUGCGAUCGGUAGCCGGACUGAGAGGUUGAACGGCCACAUUGGGACUGAGACACGGCCCAGACUCCUACGGGAGGCAGCAGUGGGGGAUAUUGCGCAAUGGGGGCAACCCUGACGCAGCAACGCCGCGUGAAGGAUGAAGGUUUUCGGAUUGUAAACUUCUUUUAUUAAGGACGAAAAUUGACGGUACUUAAUGAAUAAGCUCCGGCUAACUACGUGCCAGCAGCCGCGGUAAUACGUAGGGAGCAAGCGUUGUCCGGAUUUACUGGGUGUAAAGGGUGCGUAGGCGGCUUUGCAAGUCAGAUGUGAAAUCUAUGGGCUCAACCCAUAAACUGCAUUUGAAACUGUAGAGCUUGAGUGAAGUAGAGGCAGGCGGAAUUCCCCGUGUAGCGGUGAAAUGCGUAGAGAUGGGGAGGAACACCAGUGGCGAAGGCGGCCUGCUGGGCUUUAACUGACGCUGAGGCACGAAAGCGUGGGUAGCAAACAGGAUUAGAUACCCUGGUAGUC
rnacentral:rRNA from 1 species